GUCUCUGUGGCGCAAUUGGUUAACGCGUUCGGCUGUUAACCGAAAGGUUGCUGGUUCAAGCCCAGCCAGGGAGG
rfam:Ciona savignyi cont_31041, whole genome shotgun sequence.